rnacentral:rRNA from 1 species
UACGAAGGGUGCAAGCGUUAAUCGGAAUUACUGGGCGUAAAGGGUGCGUAGGCGGUACGUUAAGUCUGUUGUGAAAUCCCCGGGCUCAACUCGGGAAUGGCAAUGGAUACUGGCGGGCUAGAGUGUGUCAGAGGAUGGUGGAGUUCCCGGUGUACCGGAGAAAUGCGUAGAGAUCGGGAGGAACAUCAGUGGCGAAGGCGACCAUCUGGGACAACAUUGACGCUGAAGCACGAAAGCGUGGGGAGCAAACAGG